rnacentral:rRNA from 1 species
AUGCAGUACUGGUCCUUGGAGGGGAUCGAGGAGAUCCUCGGGAAGAAGGUGUGUGUCGACCGCCUCGACAGCAGGACGCAGGAGCGCGGCCACACAAAGACCUUUGCCUGCUGGGUCUGGACCAACGACGUCGCCCACAUCCCCACCAAGCACACGCUCGGGGUCCUACCGCGCGGCGCGGGCCGCGUCGAGGAGAUGCAGGGCUACUCUCCGCCCGACCGGCGCGUCGCUCCUCCGCUAGGCACCGCGGACUACACCAUGCUCAUCCACAUCGACAUGGUUGAAGAUUGGACGCCUCCAUCACCGCGCUCCUCCCACUCCGCCCAGAGCGGGAUGCCGUCGUCCGACUCCGACACCGACGACCGGCCCCGCUUCACUGUGAUCCCCGCCUCUUGGACCAUGGAGGUCAAGCACGGCCAGCGUGGUGACCGCCCGCAGCGCCUUGGGCGCGCACCGGUGGCUGACCUGGGCUGCCGCGGAAUGCCACGCGGCGGGCGCGACCACGACGAUGCGGGUGAAGCUGGUGGCGGGGGGCGCCGCUCCUAG